UUACGGCCAUAUCACGUUGAAACACCGGUUCUCGUACGAUCACCGAAGUUAAGUAAUGUCGAGCCUGGUCAGUACCUACAUGGGUGACCGCUGGGGAAUAUCAGAUGUUAUA